AUGGAGGCAAGGUCAGAGGAAAAGGGAAAAAUGGGAAAGAUUUUAUUUAAAGCCCCUGGUCAUUCUUGCCUUUCCGCCCGCCCACCACGACCCCUCAAGCCAGAUGCCGUCUCUAGUUCGGGAGCGUUGGAUGAGGAUGCCAGGCACUCUGCUUUUCCUAAACAACUUCCAAGAACCCCGGAACAUUUCUUAAAGUGUCUGGAACGAAGCUUUAACCUCGCCUGCUCCAUCAGCCUGGGACGGAAAAGACGCGAGGGGCGAAGAAGAGUUAGGUCUACAAGCCAGGUUCAAGGCCACCAACUGAGGCACCUGUCCCGAGACAGGACCAUUCUAAUCUGCCCUGAAAAGGACAUCCCAUUGAUCAUACUAAAUUUGUGGAUGGAUACCUAUGUGUUGACCAGACCCUCCCUCUUCAAUGAAAACUGCCUCUCCUUCCACUCCAUCUGUGAGGCACCCUUGGAUGCUGACAUGUGCUUACAUAGGACUUCCUGUCCACAGCCAGAAUUAGCCAGAAUUCACUGACCCAUGGUUGGACUCCUAAAAUACUCAAGAUGAGAGACAUGUUACUUUUCUUUACUAUAGUAACUAUCAAAUGCAUCCCAUAACCUUAUGUUGUAAACGUCAAAUAUGCACAAUAAAAUUUAUUUGAAAAAAUAAAGCUGGAAAAUUGAAAGUAAUGAAUGUUCAAUUAAAAUCUGCAAACAAGCUAAUAAAUAAAUACUCAAGAUGGACCAGUGACAGCCUUUCUCUAGAGUUUUUGAUUUGAGGCCAAGAAGGUUAGUGCAGCCUUUCUCCCAUGGCUGUCACUGUGAAGAUAAACAUUUGGGAAUUGAUGGCAGCCUUGUUUCUCCACCAGGCUGAAGAAACUAGGACCUGCGGGGGCUGAGAUUGGAGUGAAACAGAUGUGAAGAGAAAAGUGUUGGGUCCAGGUGGUCCUGGGGCCCAGCCAUGCUCUUGUUUUUUUUUUUGUUUGUUUGUUUUUUGUUUGUUUGUUUGUUUUGUUUUAAUAGAUUUAAAUUGGUUCCUGCCAGGUACAGUCAAAGGCCUUUUUACCUGCUUCUCAGAGAAUUUCCCUCCGCCUGCCUGUGGCUAAUUCCUUCUCCUGCACCCUUGGUUCAGCCUCACCUGGUGACCCUUGUUCCAUCACUUCCACCACUUCUCUAGAAUCUUCAGUCAUUUCAGCAAUACAUAUGUUCAUCUUCCUGCCCAAAAACUGAAUAAGCAAAGACUUUCUUUCAUCUCUGACCCUCUUCAACUUCUGCCCUUCCCUUCUACUCACUAUCUCUAUUUUCUCACCUCCUACUUAAUGCCCAAUCUGCUGCUGCUAUCUUGCUCCAUUUCUUCUUCCCAUUUUCCUGAGGCUACUCUCUUGACAGGGAGUGCAUUGCAGAAUACAUCCAAUUUCUUGUGUUUAUGUUACUUGUCUGCA
rnacentral:lncRNA from 1 species